rnacentral:lncRNA from 10 species
GAAUGAGGAGAAGGAAGAGCUGAAGAAGCAAGUGGAGAAGCUGCAGGCCCAGGUCACCCUGUCAAAUGCCCAGCUAAAAGCAUUCAAAGAUGAGGAGAAGGCAAGAGAAGCCCUCAGACAGCAGAAGAGGAAAGCAAAGGUGAGGAGGCUUGAGGGAGGUAGCAGCACUGACAUCCUCUUACCUUCCUCAUGGAGCUAGCCUGAUGGAUGCACAGUGUGUGCUCGGGCGUGGGGACAUCCUCUGCUAACUAACUGAUGAGUAAUACAGGAAAAGCCUUAGAGCAGUAUUGGUACAGAGGCAGUGCCCACAAUGUAUUAGCUGUCAUCACUGUUGACAUUCUGUGUCCAGGUAGCAACCUUCCGUGCCCAUGUGACUAGCCUUCUUUGGCCGUGUAUGAGCCUUCCGUGCCCAUGUAUCCAACUUUCUAUGCCCAUGUUCCAGCCCUCCGUGCCCAUGUACCAGCCUUUUGUGCCCAUGCCCAGCCUUUUGUGCCCAUGCCCAGCCUUCCAUGCCCAUGUACCAGCCUUCCGUGUCCAUGUACCAGCCUUCCAUGCCCAUGUGCUCAGCCUUCCGUUUCCAUGUAUCAGCCUUCCGUGCCCAUGUGCCCAGCCUUCUGUGUCCAUUUACCCAGCCUUCCGUGCCCA